rnacentral:lncRNA from 1 species
AAAAUUCAAGGGAAUCACUCACUAGGCCAUCAACUAUCCAGGUAAGACCCUGUCCUAAAACCUUCAUGCAAAUGAGUUAAAGUAAGUUGUGGGGUUAGAGAUAUACCAAGAAUGAGCCAAUAGGGGGUAGUAUGUAGGGUUGUUGAACUAUUCUAGGUAGAAUCUUGUUGAAAUUAUUGAGGGAGGAAGGGAUUACCAUUGUAGAAGCCUUAUGUUCGAUUUUGCAUGAUAGGUGUUUGACGAAAUUCCCAAGAGACUUAUAUCAUGAGAAUCCUUCUAAUUUUGAUUCAAACUUAUCAUCUUAUUAUAGAUAGAAAUUGCUAGGAGUAUUUGGACGUUGUAAUAACCUAAGUAAAGUUCAAGCGAAGUAUGUUAGCUAAACUUCUCUCUUAGAAUCGAAUCCCAUGAUGUUCUCGUAAGUUUCAAGUAUGAUGGGCCAAGCUNNNNNNNNNNNNNNNNNNNNNNNNNNNNNNNNNNNNNNNNNNNNNNNNNNNNNNNNNNNNNNNNNNNNNNNNGGNCCAAGCUUUUAUUCCUCAUUUUCCGAGUUAUUCCUUGUAAAUUUGACUAUUCCGAAUAAACUUGUAUCGAAAGAUACAUACUAAAAAUGUGUGCCAAAUGCUCUUACCAUAUUAUGUUCUCCUUCAGGAAUAUAUUCAAACGUGACCAUUGUGUCAAAAUAUUAUGACUUCAAUCAUGUUUCAAUUGUAAGUUAUUAUGCGAAAUUGUGGAAGAAAAUUCAAUGUUCUUAAGACUCUUAUUUGCUCAUAUAUAUAUACUUAAAAUCUUGAUUAGAAAUGCCUUAUUGUUGAUAAUCCAUGAUGAUGCUUGAAAGUGAGAGGGAUGAGAAUGAAAUGUGAAAUACGGCCGACGUGCCAAGAACGAAAUUACACUUGUGCCCACUAGUGCCAAUGAAAUAAAAAGUCGUGUGAAAGAUUAUGAAAUGAGCUGAAAAUUCUUUGUAUAAUAAAUGUUUUGGGAGUAUCUUUUAGUCACCGACACUACCAAAAAAACUGGAAUUAGCUACGAAUGGUGUCGUUAAUCUGUCGCUAAAACACUCGUAUCUAGAAGAAUUUCUUGAUAAUCCGUCGCUAAUUCAUCGCUAAAUGAGAUUAGCAACAGAUUUUUCUGUUUAGCUACAAAAUUUGUCCGUCGCUAAAACCUAAUUUUUUUAGUAGUGCGAGGAAGGGUAGGUUGAAAUAGCUAAACCCUGAAACUACAUGUGCGAUGUAGGAGAGGUUGAGGAGUAAAAUCCCCAUAUUGAUGUGAUGAGAUUAUUCCCCUUAAAUUGGAUGAGAUUGAUGUGUUAAGAUGAUUACCCUUAAUUGGUAUAAGAUGAUUACUAGCGGAAAGUGACGUUGACCCACACAACAUUGUGGUGAUGAGACACUUUAGCUGAUAGGACGACAUGUCGCGCACAUGCUGACGUUUAUGAUUGGAUGUCUUUGGGUGAGACAGCUUAGUCGGUCGGGACGUGAUCUGACUUCGGGCUAAAAAUACGAUGGUGUAAUCACUGCUAAAGAUCUCCUAACCUAAAACAUUGUUAUUUACUUGAAUUUUAUCUUUCUCUUAACUUGACAUUGUUAUAUUGUCUUGAGGCUCUCAUUGAUUGCAUGUUCUUUCUCAUUGAAUUGUUACUCGUUCUAUUGAGAUGUCGUUCUAUUGAGAUGGUAUUUAGUCUUACAUAUAAGUACUAUUCCAUAUGUACUAACGUCCCUUUUACUUUAGCGCUGCAUCUUUUAUGGAUGUCUGUGGUUCCACAACAUGCAGAAUUGAUCAAUGAUAGCGGUACGACCUCUUCUCAACUGACUUGGUAACCUCACUUCAUUUCGGGGUCAUGUAUCUUUUGUUCCUUGUGUAUAGUGCUUUGAGGUAUAGCUUGGCCUUGUUGCCAGCACCUCAUAUUAC